AUUGAACGCUGGCGGCAUGCUUUACACAUGCAAGUCGAACGGUAACAGGCCGCAAGGUGCUGACGAGUGGCGAACGGGUGAGUAAUGCAUCGGAACGUGCCCAGUCGUGGGGAUAACUACUCGAAAGAGUAGCUAAUACCGCAUACGAUCUAUGGAUGAAAGCGGGGGACCGUAAGGCCUCGCGCGAUUGGAGCGGCCGAUGUCAGAUUAGGUAGUUGGUGGGGUAAAGGCUCACCAAGCCAACGAUCUGUAGCUGGUCUGAGAGGACGACCAGCCACACUGGGACUGAGACACGGCCCAGACUCCUACGGGAGGCAGCAGUGGGGAAUUUUGGACAAUGGGCGCAAGUCUGAUCCAGCAAUGCCGCGUGCAGGAAGAAGGCCUUCGGGUUGUAAACUGCUUUUGUACGGAACGAAACGGCUCUGGUUAAUACCCGGGGCUAAUGACGGUACCGUAAGAAUAAGCACCGGCUAACUACGUG
rnacentral:rRNA from 1 species